UACGAAGGGGGCUAGCGUUGCUCGGAAUCACUGGGCGUAAAGGGUGCGUAGGCGGGUCUUUAAGUCAGGGGUGAAAUCCAUGGAGCUCAACUCCAGAACUGCCUUUGAUACUGGAGGAUCUUGAGUUCGGGAGAGGUCAGUGGAACUGCGAGUGUAGAGGUGAAAAUUCGUAGAUAUUCGCAAGAACACCAGUGGCGAAGGCGGCUGACUGGUCCGGUUCUGACGCUGAGGCGCGAAAGCGUGGGGAGCAAACAGG
rnacentral:rRNA from 1 species